rnacentral:sRNA from 1 species
GAAUUUUGACCAGAAGGCGGUGAAAUUCCUGGCAAAUUUUUACAUCAAUGGAGGCAAACACUGGACCCAUGGCCACCUGAGGCAGACACAACCAGAGCCCACCCAACCCAAGGCAUCUGUGCUGUUGUUGGGCCUGGAGCCAGGGAUGGCCUGGGAUGAGACAUGGCCCCCAAAGAUGAAGGAAGUCCCAGCUGGCCUCAGGUUACAGACGGGCACCCCUCAGGAGUCCCUGCCCACCUACACCCAGACCCUGAGGGAGCUGUGUGAGUGAGGGUCCUGGCCACCCCACCCCCAAGCUGGUCUUUGGGGGGCUGUGGGAGAGGCCUGCUGAAAGGAGCCCAGGCCCAGAGCUUGCUUCCUGUGGCCAGUGCUGGAGCGACGCCCCCCGAUCACAGCUGACCUGGAAGUCCCCAGCCCCACCAGGUACCAGGUGCCGAGCCCGUCCGUACGAGAGUCCUCCCCACACCCCCACUACAGCAUCGGCUGCAAGCACCAGGGCCGAGGUGUGUGUCCCCUCCCUGAGGCCCAACCACUGGGCCUGUCCCUCACUCUGGGAAUGGGGGCCUCUGCCUCUGUGCUGAAACCCCCACGGCCUGAGGGCCCCUCCACCCUCCCCUGCGUUCACCUCCAGGCUCAGCACUUGUAAGGAGGCCUGGAGAGAGAAGGGCUAGGGCUGGGGCAUGGGUGGAUGUUGUGAAGACAAGGGUUCAGGGGCCGGGGGUGGGAACUGGGAGACAGGUUCGAGUGGGGACUGUCACCUGGGUGGGGCUCCCAGCCUUCUCUCUCUCCAUCCUCCAACUAC